rnacentral:rRNA from 1 species
GAUGAACGCUGGCGGCGUGCUUAACACAUGCAAGUCGAACGGGAUCGGCUGGAGCUUGCUCCGGCCGUGAGAGUGGCGAACGGGUGAGUAAUGCGUGACCGACCUGCCCCAUACACCGGAAUAGCUCCUGGAAACGGGUGGUAAUGCCGGAUGCUCCGACAUGACGCAUGUCGUGUUGGGAAAGAUUCAUCGGUAUGGGAUGGGGUCGCGUCCUAUCAGGUAGUCGGCGGGGUAACGGCCCACCGAGCCUACGACGGGUAGCCGGCCUGAGAGGGCGACCGGCCACAUUGGGACUGAGAUACGGCCCAGACUCCUACGGGAGGCAGCAGUGGGGAAUAUUGCACAAUGGGCGCAAGCCUGAUGCAGCGACGCCGCGUGCGGGAUGACGGCCUUCGGGUUGUAAACCGCUUUUGACUGGGAGCAAGCCCUUCGGGGUGAGUGU